GGUCCGGUAGCUCAAUGGUAGAGCAAAGGACUCUUAAUCCUUAGGUUCAGGGUUCAAAUCCCUGCCGGAUCA
rnacentral:tRNA from 1 species